rnacentral:snRNA from 1 species
AGAUGUGAGAGCGAUCUGGUUGUGACAUCUGUCACCCCACUGAUCAUCAGGCUUGAUUAGGCUGAUCUGGCUGGCUAGGCGGGUGGCCCCUUCCUCCCUCAUUGCUCCAUGUGUUUCCCUCCCAAAGCUACGCACUCAGUCAGAGGACAGUCUUCCCUUAAUAGAGAUGGGCAGAUCUUCGAUAAAAGGUAUACGAGUAGCUGCGCUCCCCUGCUAGAACCUCCAAACAAACUCUCAAGAAAGAAGCCAAGUGAAGAAAAUAUUUCUGGGCUGGGCGCCAGCUUACCCCAUACAGUGUGUCUUUGUCAUUUGCAAGGCCCUGGGUU